rnacentral:rRNA from 1 species
GAUGAACGCUGGCGGCGUGCCUAAUACAUGCAAGUCGAGCGAACAGACGAGGAGCUUGCUCCUCUGACGUUAGCGGCGGACGGGUGAGUAACACGUGGAUAACCUACCUAUAAGACUUGGAUAACUGCGGGAAACCGGAGCUCAUAACGGAUAAUAUAUUGAACCGCAUGGUUCAAUAGUGAAAGACGGUUUUGCUGUCACUUAUAGAUGGAUCCGUGCCGCAUUAGCUAGUUGGUAAGGUAACGGCUUACCAAGGCAACGAUGCGUAGCCGACCUGAGAGGGUGAUCGCCGACACUGGAGCUGAGACACGGUCCAGGCGCCUACGGGAGGCAGCAGUAGCGAAUCUUCCGCAGUGGGCGAAAGCAUGACGGAGCAACGCCACGUGUGUUAUGAAGGUCUUCGGAUCGUAAUACUCUGUUAUUAGUGAAGAACAAAUGUGGAAGUAACUAUGCCCGUCUGGACGGUACCUUAUCAGAAAGCCACCGCUAACUACGUG